rfam:Aminobacter sp. Root100 contig_6, whole genome shotgun sequence.
UUCCGGCUGUCCAAAAGCCGGGGUUACUGAAGAGGCACACCUUCAUUGCCGGCAGUGCGGAACGGGUCUUCCCAUUUCCAAGCCAAGGCAGACAAAGCGAACCGAAGCCGGGCUGGCUCAGGUUCACCGCCGCGUGAAGCGCAUUUAUGGA